GGGCUUACGGUGGAUACCUUGGCAUCGAGAGGCGAUGAAGGACGUUGUAAGCUGCGAUAAGCCCCGGGGAGCGGCAAACACGCUUUGAUCCGGGGAUGUCCGAAUGGGGAAACCCGACGCCGUUCAUACGGUAUCGCCCCGUGGCUGAAUCCAUAGGCUGCGGGGAGUGAACCCGGGGAAGUGAACCAUCUUAGUACCCGGAGGAAAAGAAAGCAACCGCGAUUCCCCAAGUAGCGGCGAGCGAACGGGGAACAGCCUAAACCGCGCAAAGGCCAAGCCUGCAGGCGUUCUUUGUGCGGUGUCGCGGGACGGAGCGAGAGGGUGCUGCAGAGCCCUCGGGAAGUUACCAACCGCUUCCUUAGCCGAACGGUCCUGGAAAGGCCGGCCAUAGGGGGUGAAAGCCCCGUAGGCGAAAAGGACGGCGGCUUCCUGCGCUUCGUUCCCAAGUAACACGGGACACGGGAAAUCCUGUGUGAAUCCGCCUCGACCACGAGGUAAGGCUAAACACUCCUCGAUGACCGAUAGCGAACCAGUACCGUGAGGGAAAGGUGAAAAGAACCCUUUUGAAGGGAGUGAAACAGAACGUGAAACCGUGGGCCUACAAGCAGUGGGAGUCCCGAUAGCAAUAUCGGGAUGACCGCGUGCCUUUUGCAUAAUGAGCUGGCUAGUUGCUGUGCGGAGCUUGGCUAAGCGAUAAGCGAGCCGGAGCGAAAGCAAGUCCGAACAGGGCGUGCUCCGACUUUCGUCGGGGCGAUGUUCCGUGCAGCAGACGCGAAGCCGGGUGAUCUACCCUUGGCCAGGAUGAAGUCCCGGUAACACGGGAUGGAGGUCCGAACCAGUGUUGGUUGAAAACAGCUUGGAUGAGCUGAGGGUAGGGGUGAAAGGCUAAUCAAACCCGGUGAUAGCUCGUUCUCCUCGAAAUGUCUUUAGGGACAGCCUCGGGGUGUUUGACCGCGGUGGUAGAGCUACUGGAUGGACUAGGGUCCGUGACAGGAUACCGAAUCCAACCAAACUCCGAAUGCCGCGGAUCUUGACCCCGGGAGUGAGUCUGUAGGGGAUAAGCUCUAUGGUCAAAAGGGAAACAACCCAGAUCGCCGGCUAAGGUCCCUAAAUGGACGCUUAGUGGGAAAGGAUGUGGGGUUGCCCAUACAGCCAGGAGGUUGGCUUAGAAGCAGCCAUCCUUUAAAGAAAGCGUAACAGCUCACUGGUCGAGCGGCCCUGCGCCGAAAAUUUAACGGGACUCAAGCGUCCUACCGAAGCCGCGGGCCCCGAUGGCAACAUCGGGACGGUAGAGGAGCGUUCCAUUCGAGCUGAAGUUCCGCCGCGAGGCGGGGUGGAUUGGAUGGAAGUGACCCUGCCAGCAUCAGUAGCGAAAAGGUCGGUGAGAAUCCGACCCGCCGGAAGUCUAAGGUUUCCUGAGGAAGGUUCGUCCGCUCAGGGUUAGCCGGCCCCUAAGCUAAGGCCGAAAGGCGUAGGCGAUGGGAAGGGGGUCAACAUUCCUCCGCCACCUGCAGUGCGUUUGAGCGCCGGAGGGACGCAGUAGGAUAGGUCCACGGGCUGCUGGACGUGCCCGGCCGCGAACGUAGGGGGAGUCUUCCAGGCAAACCCGGAAGACUCAACACCCCGAGGGAAGCGGGGAAGUGCGUCUUCGGACAAACCAACCGACCGAUUCCACACUGCCGAGAAAAGCUUCGGCGUAAGUCCUGCAGGUGACCGUACCGUAAACCGACACGGGUAGACAGGGAGAAAAUCCCAAGGCGCGUGAGUGUGAGCUUGCUAAGGAACUCGGCAAAAUAGCCCCGUACCUUCGGAAGAAGGGGUGCCUCGGUAGGGUCUAGGGCCUCGCGCCCGAAGCCCGAGGAGGCCGCAGUGAAAGGGCUCCCGCGACUGUUUACCAAAAACACAGGGCUCUGCAAACGUCAAAACGGACGUAUAGGGCCUGACGCCUGCCCGGUGCCGGAAGGUUAAGGAGAGGGGUUAUCCCGAUGCUUGCAUCGGGAGAAGCCCUGAACCGAAGCCCCGGUAAACGGCGGCCGUAACUAUAACGGUCCUAAGGUAGCGAAAUUCCUUGUCGGGUAAGUUCCGACCCGCAUGAAUGGCGUAACGAGUUGGGCGCUGUCUUGAUGAUAGACUCA
rnacentral:rRNA from 1 species